rnacentral:rRNA from 1 species
GGAUUCGCUUCAGCUGAUGGCAACAUCGGCUGUGGCUGAGAAGGUCAUUGAACCCUCCCACUUAGAGGAAGGAGAAGUCGUAACAAGGUUUCCGUAGGUGAACCUGCGGAAGGAUCAUUG